GAAGCAACAAAUGCCCUGCUUCCAGGAAAAGCCUCUAAGCAUCAGGUAACAUCAAAUCGUACCCCAAACCGACACAGGUGGUCAGGUAGAGAAUACCAAGGCGCUUGAGAGAACUCGGGUGAAGGAACUAGGCAAAAUGGUGCCGUAACUUCGGGAGAAGGCACGCUGAUAUGUAGGUGAAGCGACUUGCUCGUGGAGCUGAAAUCAGUCGAAGAUACCAGCUGGCUGCAACUGUUUAUUAAAAACACAGCACUGUGCAAACACGAAAGUGGACGUAUACGGUGUGACGCCUGCCCGGUGC
rnacentral:rRNA from 1 species